CUUUGGCGGCCGCAGGGUUUGCUGGCUGUUCUUGCAGCCGCAGGGGGAGCUGGCUGUUGUGUCUCUGCUCCCCCUCCCUUGCGCGCCGCACAGUGAGGCUGGGAGCCGGAAUAUGACGUCAUAUUCCGGCCCCGGUCUCAUUAAGCGGCGCGCAGGGGAGACACAACAGCCAGCUCCCCCUGCGGCCGCAAGAACAGCCAGCAAACCCUGCGGCCGCCAAAGGAA
rnacentral:sRNA from 1 species